rnacentral:lncRNA from 1 species
CUGGACCAGGGUGCAGGGAACAAUGCACCUGUGUCCACAACUUUUCCCAGGUGAGCACUGGGCCGUGUGUACAUCGUCCAGCUGGCCCCAGAGCGGGCACCCUUGCUGCAAGCCUCCUCUUUCCCCCAGCCCCUGACGCACUGCUGCACCCUGGGACCCAGAUGCUCCUGGUGCCACUUACUGCCUGCCGGGAGCCCCUCCCAGGAGCCAGAUCUGGGUCCAUCUGGCAGAGGUGGGGCUGGAAGCUCCCUGGGGAACAACAGAGCACAGCCUGAAGGCAGCAUCAGCUGUAUGGGCUCCCACAGGACCUGCCCCAGCCUGACCUGGCUCCAGGCUGUGGCUGCUGGAUCCAGUCCCUGCCAGCAGGCCUGAGAAGAGAGGGGCCGGGUGAGGGGGCCUCCCGCAUCAGGUGCCCCGUAGGUGCUGAGCUCUGGGAAACACACCGGUGGUAUUCUAGUGCUCCUCCAGCAGAACUCUGGGUCAUACUUGUUCUUGCUUAGAACCACUGGCUGCCCCCACCAUGCCCCGGCCUAUUUCUGAACCAUUAAAGAUGGAGACCCACAGACUUGCAAGCCCCAGACUGUGUGGGCUGGCAGGGAGGGGCCCGCUGGGCCUCAUCUGAAGCUGCUCUCUGUCUUGCUCCGUCCAGGCCUGACCUGUUCUUGGGCAGAGUUCAUGCUCUGGCAGCAGCACUCCUCUCUGAGUGCACGGCAGGGCCAGCUGCCAGGCAUAGUCUCAUCCUGCUCCUGAAGUUCUUCCUCCUACCAAGGCCACUGCUGUCUCUGACCACAUGCACAAGGGGGUGGGACAACAGUGCCCUCCGGGGCUGACAUGGGCAGCCCAGGCAGGUAUGCAGCAAAGUGCUCACUAAACGUGCACAUCCAAGGUCAUAAUCAUGUCCAAGCCCACAUUUGGGGGAAUGUUUGCUGAGGCUGUGAUUCCUGGGGUUCACCAAGAGAGGGGUUCCUUUGUGACCUGCUGUGGUCCAGGCAGCACCUGGGGCCAGUCCUAGGACCAUCCACAGCAGCUUCAGAACUUCUCAUCACUGCUGCUGCAAGUUCCAGGCUCCAGGGUUCCGGAAGCCGCUAGGACUCAGGUCAUGAGCCCCUACCCCUCUGGGAAACCACCUGAUUGACUCCAAACUGCACAGCCCUGAUCCCAACCCUUGGCCAGUUAUGGCCCCAGCCCUAGCCAGGUGCUGGGCCUCUGUGCAAGUUCUUUGCCCCCACCUGCCCCCUAUUCUACCCAAACUUGGAGACUCAGGAAAGCUAGGUUCCCCUCCAAGGAGCCCCUGAGUGAGGGGAGCUAUGCUCCUGCCUACUUGGGCCUGCAGGCUCUGAGCUCCCCUGGGGCCACAUGCAAACCCUUCUGGAUCCCUGGAGAUUUGCUGCUGUGGCACCUGGAGUCUCAGCCACUCAAGGGGUCAGGGUGUGUCAGCAGGGGCAACCCUGCACCCUCAGCCCCCGUGGACCCUGUAGAACAAGUGGGAGGAAUUACCCUGGCUCCCACCAGCGGUGGCUCACUGGCCUUGAGCAUCUCCCCUAGAGGUGACUGGCGCAUGUUGGGCCCUGAGGCCAACUUGUCCUAGGAAGCCACAGGACUCUAUUGAUGAAGUUAUGGGGUCUGUGCCUGCAGUGAAAGCUACAUCCUCCUUAGCCACACCUAUGAGGCACCUAUUGUGUGCGGUGGAAGUGCCUGUCAGCCACAGGCUUGCCACAGGCCCCAUUCUGCAGACAGGGAGAUGAAGGAUGGGAGGGGCUGGGGAUGAGCUGCCAUUCCAGGCCAGGUCAGCGGCAGGUCGAGGCCUGGGCAGAGGAAACCCAGGCUGGGAUCGGGGGAUGUUCCCCAAAGGUGAGCCAGGGAAGGCACUGCAGGAGGUGCUGACCAAGGUGGCCUAAUGUGGUCCAGCCCAAAGCUGCGGGUAGCCUGGCCCUAACCGGAGGCCUCAGUGCUUGAUGGAGAAGCACCUGCCCCACCCAAUGCCCAGUUCAGGACUGCUGCCACAGGGCCCUUGCAGUCCCGGUUCAAGCUGGCUGCUGAAUCCAGCUGGGGUCACCUUGCCCACCCGGCUGUCAGGGACCCUAUUUGAGCCUGGAUAUUCCAUGGCACCCUGCUUGGCAGGAUCAGGUGAGGACAGGUGGCCAUCCACACACAUACGCUCAGGCUAAAGGGUGGCUUGGGGUGAGCACCGCUCAAUGGCAGCAGGGUAACACCAAGGGAGCAACAGCUUCCAACCCUACGUGGCCUCAGCUGGGCAGGGAGGUGGCACCGCAGCCUCUGGCACAGGCUGGAAGAAGGGCCACAGCUGGGCCAGAGUUCACGCAGGCUGCCUUCCCAGUUCCUACUGAGCCCUCUCCCAGGCCUCUGGGAGCUGUUGCCAAACCCGACCAGCCUCUCCAGCUCUUCUCCCCGCCGGGUGAGCGGCUGUGCCAAGGAGUGUGGAGGCAGGAGGGGAAAGGGUGCCACCUGUUCCUUCUGUGUCCUGAGAAUACCACUCCCAGUCAGCGUCACCGGGCAGCCACCCUGGGUGCCCGCACAGGGUGUGCAGGGGGCCUGCAUGGCGCUGACCCAGCUGGUCAGGGCCACGCUCAGGAGGGGUUAGACUACACAGUGCCCAGCCUGGAGCACCAGGGGCCAAGGUGUGGAACCAGUGCCAACCGGGCCUUGAGGACUGGGGAGGAAUCAGCCCAGGCCAGGCCAGGAGUCCUGCAGUGGACACCAAGGUCAGGGAGCUUGGUGUCCUACUACGCCUGACUGUCACUGGGACUGACCCUGAUAGCUGAGGGGCACACACUGGAGCCCCAACCAGGCUGGAAGAGAAUAAAGGGGGCCCUUGGGAAGGAGGCAUGAGAGGUGACACAGCCACAAGCCUUGGUGGGGGAGGGACAGUGAGAAACUGGACCCAGCCCAAGCUGGAGAGAUGUCAAAGAUGGCCAUGACAGUGUGGGGUAGCCUGUGGUCCGUCCAGGGGCAACUGGACACAGAUUAAGGAGACCCCAUCACUGGCGUGGGACUGGGGUGGACAGACCCCAGGGAAGGGAGAAGAGGGCCCACAAUGUCUAAAGGACACAGGACAGAGAAGGGUAGCUGGGAGAGUGUGGGGGAGGCACCCCUCAGGUGUACUCACCCCACUGUCCCCUCUGUGACGCCCAGCUUGGCAUGAAAUCUGUGUGUUCCCAAGUUGUCUUGAGCAAGAGUACCUGUGUGUGUGAGUGGUGAUGUGUGUGCACGGACGUGUGUGUGUGUGUGAGAGAGAGAGAGAGAGAGAGAGAGAGAGAGACUGGGGCUGGGGAUGUGGCUCAAGUGGUAGCGCGCUCGCCUGGCAUGCGUGCGGCUCAGGUUCGAUCCUCAGCACCACAUACAAAGAUGUUGUGUCCGCCAAGAACUAAAAAUAAAUAAAUAUUAAAAUUCUCUCUCCCUAAAAAAAAAAAAAGAAGAAGAAAGAAAGAGAGAGAGAGAGACUAAGAGGAUCCGGGGCUGCCCUCCAUCCCCCCCUCCCUUCUUCCCCAAUCCAGGGAGGCCAACCUGGCUCCUGUCACCACGGCAACAGCAGGACAGGGUGACCCUGUGGGACUGACUGUGCAUGGUGUCCACGCCACUGCAGGGCAAGGAUGCCGUGAGCUGGGGUGCAGCAGGGUCCCCAGAGGCAGGAUCUGCCCUGCUCCUCAAGCCCCCUUCUGGGGAAACACCUGCUUUGGGGACAGGCAGGUGGAGGCCCCAGGUUCUCUGUGAGGCUGCCCCUCUCAGCAGGACAUCCAAUGGGGCUCCCGUGCAGCACUGGCCCUGCUGGCCUCUCUGCCUGUAGGAGAGCCCCAGCUCUGUGCCCAUGGGCCACACCUGCUCAUGGGCCCAGAGCUAUUUUUAAGGUCCACUGGAUGGGCCUUCCAGGGACCAGGAAAACACAGGUGGGGACUGGUACUUGGCUCUGUGUGGGCCUUGGCCAGGAGGGACCUAUGGGGCAGGCGUGACCUAGGGUCAUCCCCCAGGGGCCAAGUCCAGGGUAAAAGCCCACCCACACACCUCUGAGACUGAGCCUGGCUCCCUGAACAAGAAGGCAGAGCCUCUGUUUGCCAAGCUGAGAAGUGGAACAGACCAUGCCCAGCCCUGGGUAGGGGCAGGGCCAGACACAGGGGUCCCCAGUACUCUGCCCCAGUCAUGGUGUCUUCGGUGGCCACACAGGCAAAACCAUGAGGUCCCCCACAGCCCACUCCUUAGACCAGAAAUGGAAUAGGAAGGAGGCCUGAUGUUGGAUGGGCAGCCCCUGGCAGGUGGGGACAAGGGUCCAUUCUGAGUCCAGGUGAGGCCACACAUCACACAGGCGUGUGAAACAGUGGACCCACAGCACACACCUACGCUGGGAGAGAUGAAGGGCUAGGGGACCCACCACCCCAGGAAAGGCUGCCUUCUGUUUGCCUGCAGGACCAGGCUGGGACCCUCUGGGUCCAGGCUGGAAGAGCCCUCUGGAGUCUUGCACAAGAGGUGCUGUGCAGGAGGGCUGGGGGUCUCCAGCCCACCUUUUAAGUGAAGGGGAGAAGGGGCAGUGGGCAGCUGGGCCCACGCUGCCCUGUUAGUUUGGGGAGACCCGGAGCGUUCACAGGGGAGGUUACCUUCCUGUUUCAGUCAGUUUUGUUUUGUUUUUUUCUGCUGUGACCAAAAGACCCGACAAGAACAAUUUCAGAGGAAAAAAAAGUUUAUUGGCACAGGUUCAGAGGUCUCAGUGCACAGAUGGCAGAUCCAUCCUUUGGGGCCUGAGGUGAGGCAGAACGUCAUGGCACAAGAGUGGGGUAGGAAGGAAGCUCAGGACACUGACACAGCCACCAAGAAGCAGAGAGGGGUGGGGGGGUAG